GGGAGCCCUAGACACGUCCGUGGGAAACACCUGCCUGCCACCAAUGCACGACGCCGCAAGCCCGCCCUUUGCCUGCAGAGUGCAGGUGCGCCCCGGCAAGCGGCAGCGGGGUCUCGCAGCCCCCCGGGCGGGUACGAGCUUAUUAGAGACACUGAAUCAUGUUGGGAAUGACUGUGAUCAACAUCCUGCUCCCUGCUGUGAUGCAAAUGCAUGGAAAUAUCUGAAAACUGGAACUUCUUCAGGAACUCCUGGAUAAAGUAGGAAGUAGCUGUAAGAAUAAUGCACUGAAUAAAGCAGUGGGUAAGGAUUUCUUCCUAGUCUGUCAGCACUUAACAGCCAGGAGAUGAAGAAAGGCAAAAGUACACUGCAGAGCCACUGGACACAGCAGAGCCCAGCUCUACACCUUGCAAUUAGAAGACACUGCCAGGGAGUGGGGGACAGAGUGGGAGAGUUCCAGGCAGUUGCAGUUCCUGGCACACCCUGAAUGAAGGAGGCGGCACGCAGGAAACUCCACACAAUCCCAGGACCCAGCAUCAGACUGUUUCU